GGCGGCACGCCUAACACAUGCAAGUCGAACGAAGUAGCAAUACUUAGUGGCAGACGGGUGAGUAACAUGUAGGUAUCUGCCCUUUGGCCCGGAAUAACACGAGGAAACUUGUGCUAAUACCGGAUAAGUCUUUACGGAGAAAGCUUUAUGCACCAUUGGAUGAGCCUGCACUUGAUUAGUUUGUUGGUGGGGUAAUGGCCUACCAAGACUGUGAUCAAUAGCUGAUUUGAGAGGAUGAUCAGCCACAUUGGGACUGAGACACGGCCCAAACUCCUACGGGGGGCAGCAGUGGGGAAUCUUGCACAAUGGAGGAAACUCUGAUGCAGCGAUGCCGCGUGAGUGAAGAAGGCCCUUGGGUUGUAAAGCUCUUUCGUCGGGGAAGAAAAUGACUGUACCCGAAUAAGAAGGUCCGGCUAACUUCGUGCCAGCAGCCGCGGUAAUACGAAGGGACCUAGCGUAGUUCGGAAUUACUGGGCUUAAAGAGUUCGUAGGUGGUUGAAAAAGUUAGUGGUGAAAUCCCAGAGCUUAACUCUGGAACUGCCAUUAAAACUUUUCAGCUAGAGUAUGAUAGAGGAAAGCAGAAUCUCUAGUGUAGAGGUGAAAUUCGUAGAUAUUAGAAAGAAUACCAAUUGCGAAGGCAGCUUUCUGGAUCAUUACUGACACUGAGGAACGAAAGCAUGGGUAGCGAAGAGGAUUAGAUACCCUCGUAGUCCAUGCCGUAAACGAUGUGUGUUAGACGUUGGAAAUUUAUUUUCAGUGUCGCAGCGAAAGCGAUAAACACACCGC
rnacentral:rRNA from 1 species